rnacentral:rRNA from 1 species
UACGUAGGGGGCAAGCGUUGUCCGGAUUUAUUGGGCGUAAAGAGCGUGUAGGCGGUUAGGUAGGUCCGUUGUGAAAACUCGAGGCUCAACCUCGAGACGCCGAUGGAAACCAUCUGACUAGAGUCCGGAAGAGGAGAGUGGAAUUCCUGGUGUGAGCGGUGAAAUGCGCAGAUAUCGGGAAGAACACCCGUGGCGGAAGGCGGCUCUCUGGAACGCAACUGACGCUGAGACGCGAAAGCGUGGGGAGCAAACAGG